GAUGAACGCUGGCGGCGUGCCUAAUACAUGCAAGUCGAGCGAACAGAUGAGGAGCUUGCUCCUCUGACGUUAGCGGCGGACGGGUGAGUAACACGUGGAUAACCUACCUAUAAGACUGGGAUAACUUCGGGAAACCGGAGCUAAUACCGGAUAAUAUAUUGAACCGCAUGGUUCAAUAGUGAAAGACGGUUUUGCUGUCACUUAUAGAUGGAUCCGCGCCGCAUUAGCUAGUUCGUAAGGUAACGGCUUACCAAGGCAACGAUGCGUAGCCGACCUGAGAGGGUGAUCGGCCACACUGGAACUGAGACACGGUCCAGACUCCUACGGGAGGCAGCAGUAGGGAAUCUUCCGCAAUGGGCGAAAGCCUGACGGAGCAACGCCGCGUGAGUGAUGAAGGUCUUCGGAUCGUAAAACUCUGUUAUUAGGGAAGAACAAAUGUGUAAGUAACUAUGCACGUCUUGACGGUACCUAAUCAGAAAGCCACGGCUAACUACGUG
rnacentral:rRNA from 1 species